rnacentral:rRNA from 1 species
UACAGAGGGGGCAAGCGUUAUUCGGAAUUAUUGGGCGUAAAGGGCGCGUAGGCGGUUUUUUAAGUCGGAUGUGCAAUCCCCAGGCUCACCCUGGGAACUGCAUCCGAGACUGUAAGGCUAGAGUACUGGAGAGGGUGGUGGAAUUCCUCGUGUAGAGGUGAAAUUCGUAGAUAUUCGGAAGAACACCAGUGGCGAAGGCGACUUACUGGACACAUAUUGACGCUGAGGUGCGGAAGCGUGGGGAGCAAACAGG